rnacentral:rRNA from 1 species
GAUGAACGCUGGCGGCGUGCCUAACACAUGCAAGUCGAACGGAAGUAAGAGCUUCGGUUUUACUUUAGUGGCGAACGGGUGAGUAACGCGUGAGAAACCUGCCUCUCAGUGGGGGACAACAGUUGGAAACGACUGCUAAUGCCGCAUAACACUUUAGUACCGCAUGGUACAGAAGUCAAAGCUUUAUGUGCUGAGAGAUGGUCUCGCGUCUGAUUAGCUAGAUGGCGGGGUAACGGCCCACCAUGGCGACGAUCAGUAGCCGGUCUGAGAGGAUGAACGGCCACAUUGGGACUGAGAUACGGCCCAGACUCCUACGGGAGGCAGCAGUGAGGAAUAUUGGUCAAUGGACGAGAGUCUGAACCAGCCAAGUAGCGUGCAGGAC